GAUGAAGAACGUAGCGAAAUGCGAUAAGUAAUGUGAAUUGCAGAAUUCAGUGAAUCAUCGAAUCUUUGAACGCACAUUGCGCCCGCCAGUAUUCUGGCGGGCAUGCCUGUUCGAGCGUCAUUUCAACCAUCAAGCCCCCGGCUUGUGUUGGGGACCUGCGGCUGCCGCAGGCCCUGAAAAGCAGUGGCGGGCUCGCUGUCACACCGAGCGUAGUAGCAUACAUCUCGCUCUGGGCGUGCUGCGGGUUCCGGCCGUUAAACCACCUUCAUAACCCAAGGUUGACCUCGGAUCAGGUGGGAAGACCCGCUGAACUUAAGCAUAUCAAUAAGCGGAGGA
rnacentral:misc_RNA from 1 species